rfam:Prosthecobacter debontii strain ATCC 700200 genome assembly, contig: EI75DRAFT_scaffold00008.8
GGAGCGGUAGCUCAAUUGGUUAGAGCGCCAGCCUGUCACGUUGGAGGUUGCGGGUUCAAGCCCCGUCCGUUCCG